rnacentral:rRNA from 1 species
GAUGAACGCUGGCGGCGUGCCUAAUACAUGCAAGUCGAGCGAACAGACGAGGAGCUUGCUCCUCUGACGUUAGCGGCGGACGGGUGAGUAACACGUGGAUAACCUACCUAUAAGACUGGGAUAACUUCGGGAAACCGGAGCUAAUACCGGAUAAUAUAUUGAACCGCAUGGUUCAAUAGUGAAAGACGGUUUUGCUGUCACUUAUAGAUGGAUCCGCGCCGCAUUAGCUAGUUGGUAAGGUAACGGCUUACCAAGGCAACGAUGCGUAGCCGACCUGAGAGGGUUGUCGGCCACACUGGAACCGAGACACGGUCCAGACUCCUAAGGGAGGCAGCAGUAGGGAAUCUUCCGCAAUUGGCGAAAGCCUGACGGAGCAACGCCGGGUUAGGGAUGAAGGUUUUCCGAUCGUAAAACCCCUUUUUUAGGGAAGAACAAAUGUGUAAGUAACUAUGCACGUCUUGACGGUACCUAAUCAGAAAGCCACGGCUAACUACGUG